UGAGGAAUAUUGGUCAAUGGACGGAAGUCUGAACCAGCCAAGUAGCGUGCAGGAUGACGGCCCUAUGGGUUGUAAACUGCUUUUGUAUGGGGAUAAAGUUAGGGACGUGUCCCUAUUUGCAGGUACCAUACGAAUAAGGACCGGCUAAUUCCGUGCCAGCAGCCGCGGUAAUACGGAAGGUCCAGGCGUUAUCCGGAUUUAUUGGGUUUAAAGGGAGCGUAGGCUGGAGAUUAAGUGUGUUGUGAAAUGUAGACGCUCAACGUCUGACUUGCAGCGCAUACUGGUUUCCUUGAGUACGCACAACGUUGGCGGAAUUCGUCGUGUAGCGGUGAAAUGCUUAGAUAUGACGAAGAACUCCGAUUGCGAAGGCAGCUGACGGGAGCGCAACUGACGCUUAAGCUCGAAGGUGCGGGUAUCAAACAGG
rnacentral:rRNA from 1 species